UAAUGUUCCUAUUGGCCAAUCGGCUGCUCGCUCAUCCCAUCAUUGUCCAAUAAGCUGCUGGUUCCUUUCCCGCGCUUAAGAGUUUCGAGUGUGAGGGAGAAGUGACGCAAUGAAAAACGGGAGCGGCAGAUAGGAGAACACAAUGGCGCCAUAUAUAUAAGAGCAGAGUAACAGGCACCCCUGGGAACUGCACGGAAUAGAAGUAGAACAACCAACUUACAGAUACCAACUACAGGGACCCCCAUGCUGCAUGGAGGAAUCACAUCAGCAAGGCAUUAUGGGACAGUGUGACCCUGGCAGUAAAAUACUGUUUCCUGUCUGUUACGGUUUCCUCUCUGACUCGUUCCCACAGACACACAAGGGUGGCAGAGAUCUCUGUAGGUGCAUCAUGGGAUACUAGGCACCGGGGACUCCCUGUAUUCCCACAACACAGCCAGCAGCAUAUUGUUAAGGGUUAAACUAUCCCCCCCGACACACUAACCAUGGAGACACAGCAAUGGCAGCUGCAAAGGCAAAUACCCUGUUCGGCUCUUUUAUCCAGCAUGAAAUCACCUUAUUUCACCCUAUGAAGCACGUCACAGCUCUGGCGUCUCUUUGGGCCAAGCUGGCACUGCCCAUAUCACUGCACCACUCAGCGCAGCCCUGCUAGAAAGCCGUGAUUGGCAGAGCAAUAUUCCUAGCGGGCUCGUGUUGCUAUAAAAAGCCGCCUUUAUUAUGGAAGUCCCAGUGCCUGUAAGUUGUUGCCAGGGAGACUGGGCAGUGACGGAGCGACAGAGCGAGUGCUUGUAGAACUGUAGCGCACAAGUGGGUGGCACCGGCUGCAGCCAGGAAUCCAUCCACCGAGAUACAGAGGGGGACGGGGGCACCUAGCCCACACCCUGGGGCCAAUUAACCCUCAAACCUUCACUUAUAAAUCACAGACUGAGACAAAUGUCAUUCAAAUCAUUCACUGUCCAACACCAAUAAUAACAAUGGCAGUGUGCUUGCUAAAAUGCUUGCAGUACUGCUGAUGGGGGUUAAACUGCAGCAGAUUUGGGUCAGUACCAUGUACUGAGAUACAGAAUUGCCCCAGCUUUCUUGAGUUUUACGUUAUAACAGAAGUAGGAGCCGUCAUGGUGAUUUCUAUGGGACUGGUCAUGGACAGCUGAGCCCAGUAAAUAAGGGUCCAUCUUAGUCCUUACCUCCCUUUUCCAUCGGGCCAACCACUCGUCUCGCUUCCUCUUGCUGAUGUAAUAGGGGUCCCCGGCCUGGAAGGGCAGCCUCUGCAUGGGUCUCUGGCGCAGACUCGUCUCCCAGCUUAAUCCUCCGCGCAGCCGGCCUCGGUAUCCCUGCUCAAACGUAUUUGGGGAAAAAACAAUCAAUAAGCCCAGUCUGGCUAAUCAAUAUAUUAUGUAGGCGGUUGUGAUUAUGAGCUACCUACAUGGGAAAGCACCGGCUGCCGGCUGGGACCGAACUGGCAGCCAGUGUUUGGGACCAUGUGAAUGGGCUAGUACUGAUAUUGGCCAGACUUGGGGGAUGGUUUCCAUUAGGGAAUUGUGUAUGGUAUCAUUUUACUGGCACCCAGUUGGGAUUCAUUAGUUGGCCCCAAGGUCAAACCCAAGGCCAUAAAACUUCUUAUUGAAUGUUUCUAUGCUUAAAUACAGAUUAUAUAAGAAAAA